UACGUAGGGUGCAGGCGUUGUCCGGAAUUAUUGGGCGUAAAGAGCUCGUAGGCGGUUUGUCGCGUCUGGUGUGAAAAUCCAGGGCUUAACCCUGGACCUGCAUCGGGUACGGGCAGACUAGAGUGCGGUAGGGGAGAUCGGAAUUCCUGGUGUAGCGGUGAAAUGCGCAGAUAUCAGGAGGAACACCGGUGGCGAAGGCGGGUCUCUGGGCCGAUACUGACGCUGAGGAGCGAAAGCGUGGGGAGCGAACAGG
rnacentral:rRNA from 1 species